UACGAAGGUCCCUAGCGUUGUUCGGAAUCAUUGGGCGUAAAGCGCAUGUAGGUGGCUUUGCAAGUUGGGUGUGAAAGCCCCGGGCUCAACCCGGGAAGUGCACUCAAAACUGCUUAGCUUGAGUACGGAAGAGGAGAGUGGAAUACCUGGUGUAGUGGUGAAAUACGUAGAUAUCAGGUGGAACAUCAGUGGCGAAGGCGGCUCUCUGGUCCAGUACUGACACUGAGAUGCGAAAGCAUGGGGAUCAAACAGG
rnacentral:rRNA from 1 species